UAGGAUCAGUGUCAAUGUCUUUUUGUCUCUGUUUCCCACCUCUUAUUUUACCUUUCUCCACACCGCCGCUCCAAUCGAUCCUUCCAGUUUCAAAAUAAGCGAUCGUCUCUCUCUCCAUCACCGACACCCCAGUGCUUUCUAAGGGCGUUCGUCUUGGUGGUGAUAGACGAGUAGGGGUCUCUACCGGAACUGGUGGGGUCACUAAGUCGAUUGUCUCCACCAUAGAGAAACCUUCUUCAAUGUUGAACGAAGCAAAAUCUUAGAGACCUGUUCAUUCGUUCCUUUCAACCUCCGUAUUGUAGCGAUUGAGAUCAAUUUUACUUGCAAUUUCUAAAAUCGAACACACACACACACAUCAAUUUCAGUAAGUCAGUUCUUAUCCAUUCAGUGAUUAUUUUGCAUUACUUUGGGAAAUUUUCCGUAGUUUAUUCACCCACAACUCCAUUCACCGUUGACUUCUAAUUUCAGACGACACCCAGUUCAAUUACACGCUGAUUCGAUCUUCCACCGUUUCCUUUCCCACUGCCUCAAAGUCCAUUGGAAAUUGAUGCUGACUCUCCCCAUCGCUUACCGGUCCAUCAUCCACCCACAAUCGUUGCCCAACACCAACAGGGCUGCUUGGCAUCAACACAUAACCAAGAGAUGUGGCACCUAAUUAAAAUAGGAGUUAAAUAAGUUUGGUUUUUUGCUGAAAGAGAAGCCACUGAGUCUUCCGCCCAUGACAGUCAACACCAACCUCAGGUCGAUUUCUUCCAAUUUCCUUCUAUUUCCAGUUUUAAUUAUUUCGUUUGAAAUUUAAUAGAUUCCAUUGAAUUUUAAAGGUUAUGUUUAAUUAACUGUCUGAAUUGAUUUGCACCUAACUCUCUGUGGCCUUCGUUUGUCACAUCUACCACCGACCUGUUUUUCAUUAAUGAUUUUUUUUUCUUUACCAGAUCUUGACAGAUUUACAGCCAUACCAGGCUUUUUUUGACGGCAAGAUUAGGGUUUUCUUACUGCACACAAUGUGUUCGACAAAAUGUCACACUGAAGAUUUUCUGCUUUGAUUGCCUUCAAUUGUCAGGCUUGCAUUUUUCUAUUUUGUGGUUCUUUUUUUGCGUAGUGUUUGACAAGAUGUAGGUGGGAUCUUCUGUGAAUAUAGUAAAAGGUUGAACUGAGUUGUGCAGCUCCGUUGCCAAGUCUCAUGUUAUGUGGUUUGUAUUUCAACAUAUUAUGUAUUGGUAUUAUAUGCAUGUUAUUGAUUUUUGUUAUUUAUUUAUUUAUAUUAUUAUGUGCUUGUGUUUCUGUAGUGUUGCAUGUGGUUCAGCGCAUUUCUUGGUGGUGGUUGAUAGGUCAAAUAUGGGGAAAUGGCUUGACAAGGUAUUCGUUCCCUUAUCUCUACUAUGAAAUGGAAUGCUUAAUUCCAUAGGAAUCAAAAUACUUUUGUUUGUUUUCUUUAUAGACUGAAAUCCGGCGAAGUUCAUGGUUGACAAUCAGCAUAAUAUUCAAAAAAAUAAUCAUAACAAUCUAUAUCAUAUAUACAUUGUCAUAUACUGAUUUUUAUUUUUUAAUCAUUUUUAGGAAGGGCAUAUAGUAUUGUGUUAGCCGAAAGAGUUGUGGUAAAUUUGAUCCAAAGAAUGAGUGGCAUAACCACACUCACAAAGAUAACAAUAAAUCAGUCGCUGAAGCAGGUGAUAGCGACAUUUAGGAAUCCGGGAUUUUUUUUCUUGACAGAUUCUUAUUGACGACUCAAUUUCCCCUGUUUCUUUAUCUACUCUGUAUGUUGACUAUCUACUUUAUUCAGGUAUCAUCUUUAUUAUGGGAAUUAUGAGCUUGGUCCACGACUGGAGGUGCUCAUGUAGUAUGCAAAGCACGCGGUAAAUGUCAGUAGCUAUUUGGUUCCAAUUUGAAGUUUUGGAUAAAUGAGCAGACACAGCCGAGAUUUUUGAUUCCUCCGAUUUUGGUUUGUAAACUAUUCGACUAAUUACUCCAAAGAAUAAUCAUAUUUUCAUUUUUCAAUCUAUUGAGUUUGUUUGAUGUUUAUUUACAGAAUUUGAAUAUGAAAACCUCUAUCUUCAUUUGUGUUUUAUUUUUCUAGCAUGGUCAACUCUACAUAACACCAUAUCAAGUGGACAAAAAGGGAAAUGGACAUGAUGAUAUAUCAGCAACUGAAAAAAGAUGAUGAACUGCCAAAAAUGCCUGCUUCACAGUAUUGUAAAACAUUUCAGUUCAUAGGAGCACAUCAGAUCCCUUUGCCCCCCGCGAACCGGGGGUUACCAAUCUAGUUAUAAUGAUGGAAAUUAAAAUGUUAAACAAAUAAAUUUUACAAAAAUGAUUAACAAUAACAAACACUAAAAAUAACAUCAAAUCAUAUAUUAUAUUUUAUUUUAUUAAUGAGUAACUCACGGCUAGAAAUCAUUCAAACGAUUGAGAUUGUGUAGUUAUAAAAGAUGUAUAUAUUAUCAUAUAAUUUAAAACAAUCAAUAUAUUAUAUCAAUUUAGUAUACAAAUUAUUAUGUCAAAUUUAAUGACAACGUUAUUGUUAUAUUUAAAAAAAACAUAUAUUUGUAAAAAUUUCAACUACAUAGGUGUUUUUGUGCAACGCACUAACAUUCACCUAUUCAUGUUGUUGGUUUACUCAAGUAUAAAUAAUCACAAUUCCAAAGUCCUCCCGUAAUAUAAUGGCAAAAUAGAUUCAUUACUCCUAAUAUGUUAUGGUUUAAAUCAUAAAAACAUGUAUGAUUUCUACACUAAAACACUUAAGCCACAUGUAUACUAAUAACCACCAAGGUUUAUAGUCUAGAAAAUGAUUAAUUUGAACGAAACCCCC
rnacentral:lncRNA from 1 species